UACGUAGGGGGCAAGCGUUGUCCGGAUUCAUUGGGCGUAAAGAGCGUGUAGGCGGCCAGGUAGGUCGGUUGUGAAAACUGGAGGCUCAACCUUCAGAGGUCGACCGAAACCAUCUGGCUAGAGUCCGGGAGAGGAGAGUGGAAUUCCUGGUGUAGCGGUGAAAUGCGCAGAUAUCAGGAGGAACACCAAUAGCGAAGGCAGCUCGCUGGGACGGUAUUGACGCUGAGGCGCGAAAGCGUGGGGAGCGAACAGG
rnacentral:rRNA from 1 species